rnacentral:precursor_RNA from 10 species
CUCAGCCAGCAGCUGUUGAGAGCAUCGGAGCUGUCGGAGCCGAUGUUCUAGCUGGAAUGAAAAACGGCUGACGCUGGCACCGAGAGCCCUGUGGCUUCCAAAGACACCCUGGGACCAG